UUUCCUUGAUAACCUCCUUCUGACCAGGUUCUUUUAAUUUUUAAUUUUUUGUAAACUCUUUUAUUUUCCUUUUUUACUAUCAUUCUCCUAAAUUAUGUCUUUAUAUCUUAUUCUCUUUCAAGCAUCCAGAUUGUGGCUAAUCAUUUUACACAAGAAACAAAAAUCUGGUAGGUUCUUAUACUCCAGUUCAACAAAGAAUGCAUAUCAUUUUCUUUCUAUAAGAACCUUAUACCUUAGCUCCUUGGUUAAAU
rnacentral:lncRNA from 1 species